UUCUUUAAGGUAAGGAGGUGAUCCAACCGCAGGUUCCCCUACGGUUACCUUGUUACGACUUCACCCCAGUCAUGAAUCACAAAGUGGUAAGCGCCCUCCCGAAGGUUAAGCUACCUACUUCUUUUGCAACCCACUCCCAUGGUGUGACGGGCGGUGUGUACAAGGCCCGGGAACGUAUUCACCGUGGCAUUCUGAUCCACGAUUACUAGCGAUUCCGACUUCAUGGAGUCGAGUUGCAGACUCCAAUCCGGACUACGACGCACUUUAUGAGGUCCGCUUGCUCUCGCGAGGUCGCUUCUCUUUGUAUGCGCCAUUGUAGCACGUGUGUAGCCCUGGUCGUAAGGGCCAUGAUGACUUGACGUCAUCCCCACCUUCCUCCAGUUUAUCACUGGCAGUCUCCUUUGAGUUCCCGGCCGGACCGCUGGCAACAAAGGAUAAGGGUUGCGCUCGUUGCGGGACUUAACCCAACAUUUCACAACACGAGCUGACGACAGCCAUGCAGCACCUGUCUCACGGUUCCCGAAGGCACAUUCUCAUCUCUGAAAACUUCCGUGGAUGUCAAGACCAGGUAAGGUUCUUCGCGUUGCAUCGAAUUAAACCACAUGCUCCACCGCUUGUGCGGGCCCCCGUCAAUUCAUUUGAGUUUUAACCUUGCGGCCGUACUCCCCAGGCGGUCUACUUAACGCGUUAGCUCCGGAAGCCACGCCUCAAGGGCACAACCUCCAAGUAGACAUCGUUUACGGCGUGGACUACCAGGGUAUCUAAUCCUGUUUGCUCCCCACGCUUUCGCACCUGAGCGUCAGUCUUUGUCCAGGGGGCCGCCUUCGCCACCGGUAUUCCUCCAGAUCUCUACGCAUUUCACCGCUACACCUGGAAUUCUACCCCCCUCUACAAGACUCAAGCCUGCCAGUUUCGAAUGCAGUUCCCAGGUUGAGCCCGGGGAUUUCACAUCCGACUUGACAGACCGCCUGCGUGCGCUUUACGCCCAGUAAUUCCGAUUAACGCUUGCACCCUCCGUAUUACCGCGGCUGCUGGCACGGAGUUAGCCGGUGCUUCUUCUGCGGGUAACGUCAAUUGCUGCGGUUAUUAACCACAACACCUUCCUCCCCGCUGAAAGUACUUUACAACCCGAAGGCCUUCUUCAUACACGCGGCAUGGCUGCAUCAGGCUUGCGCCCAUUGUGCAAUAUUCCCCACUGCUGCCUCCCGUAGGAGUCUGGACCGUGUCUCAGUUCCAGUGUGGCUGGUCAUCCUCUCAGACCAGCUAGGGAUCGUCGCCUUGGUGAGCCGUUACCUCACCAACAAGCUAAUCCCAUCUGGGCACAUCUGAUGGCAAGAGGCCCGAAGGUCCCCCUCUUUGGUCUUGCGACGUUAUGCGGUAUUAGCCACCGUUUCCAGUAGUUAUCCCCCUCCAUCAGGCAGUUUCCCAGACAUUACUCACCCGUCCGCCACUCGUCAGCAAAGCAGCAAGCUGCUUCCUGUUACCGUUCGACUUGCAUGUGUUAGGCCUGCCGCCAGCGUUCAAUCUGAGCCAUGAUCAAACUCUUCAAUUUAAAAGUUUGAUGCUCAAUGAAUUAAACUUCGUAAUGAAUUACGUGUUCACUCUUGAGACUUGGUAUUCAUUUUUCGUC
rnacentral:rRNA from 1 species